rnacentral:rRNA from 1 species
GGCGAGUGAACCGGGAAGAGCUCAAAUUUGAAAUCUGGCGUGCUCAGUGCGUCCGAGUUGUAAUCUAUAGAGUCGUUUUCCGUGCCGGACUGUGUCCAAGUCCCUUGGAACAGGGUAUCAAAGAGGGUGAUAAUCCCGUACUUGACACAAUGACCGGUGCUCUGUGAUACGUCUUCUACGAGUCGAGUUGUUUGGGAAUGCAGCUCAAAAUGGGUGGUGAGUUCCAUCUAAAGCUAAAUAUUGGCGAGAGACCGAUAGCGAACAAGUACCGUGAGGGAAAGAUGAAAAGCACUUUGGAAAGAGAGUUAAACAGUACGUGAAAUUGUUAAAAGGGAAACGAUUGAAGUCAGUCGUGACUGAGAGGCUCAGCCGGUUCUGCCGGUGUAUUCCCCUCAGUCGGGUCAACAUCAGUUUUGUUCGGUGGAUAAGGGCAGUUGGAAGGUGGCACCCUCGGGUGUGUUAUAGCCAGCUGUCGCAUACAUCGGAUGAGACUGAGGAAUGCAGCUCGCCUUUAUGGCCGGGGUUCGCCCACGUUCGAGCUUAGGAUGUUGA